GAUGAACGCUGGCGGCGUGCCUAAUACAUGCGAGUCGAGCGAACAGACGAGGAGCUUGCUCCUCUGACGUUAGCGGCGGACGGGUGAGUAACACGUGGAUAACCUACCUAUAAGACUGGGAUAACUUCGGGAAACCGGAGCUAAUACCGGAUAAUAUAUUGAACCGCAUGGUUCAAUAGUGAGAGACGGUUUUGCUGUCACUUAUAGAUGGAUCCGCGCCGCAUUAGCUAGUUGGUAAGGUAACGGCUUACCAAGGCAACGAUGCGUAGCCGACCUGAGAGGGUGAUCGGCCACACUGGAACUGAGACACGGUCCAGACUCCUACGGGAGGCAGCAGUAGGGAAUCUUCCGCAAUGGGCGAAAGCCUGACGGAGCAACGCCGCGUGAGUGAUGAAGGUCUUCGGAUCGUAAAACUCUGUUAUUAGGGAAGAACAAAUGUGUAAGUAACUAUGCACGUCUUGACGGUACCUAAUCAGAAAGCCACGGCUAACUACGUG
rnacentral:rRNA from 1 species